UAAGUGUGGAUCACAGCAUCACCACAGGACCACAUACAAUCAGGAAUUUCCCCUAAAAAAGAAAAAGAAAGUUUUGGAUGCUGGACAAUCAAAAAAUAUUUUUCUCCUACAGCACAGUGUCAGCAGUUCACGUUUUGGCACCAGAUGGAGGCUUUCUUUUGGUGAAAUGCCACCGUGUCAUUCAGCCGAGCUUUGAGCCUUUGAAUGUUCGCGCAGGUAAGGUUCUUUCCUCUCCCUCCCUCCGCCCCUCCUUCCUCUCUUUCCUUUUUUCUCCCUCUCCACAUUCUACUUUCCCUGAGAUGCUCUGGAGAUUGGUUAGAGAUGUGCUCACUUAUUUAUGGAGACUGCAAAGGGAACACUCUGGUGCCUGUUUAAAAGGCCUGAGUCUACCCCGCGAGAGAUGACAGGUUUACGAAGAAAAUGGUUUGGUCAGAGUUCAGGGUGGACCUAAAAGUCCAGGGCAGCAGGCAUGAAUGUCUUGUGUCUUUUGAUUUGUUCCAAAUUUGCUUCUUAAUGUCUUUAAGACCAAGUGUUUCUAUGAGCUACGGUCAGUUUUUCCACAAAGAAUGUGUUCCAAACUUCAUUUCACAACUAUUCCAUUUUAUCUAGUCUUGCUUAUGUUGACUUUGAGAAGUUACUUUAGAGAAAAAUGUGUGAUUCUGAUUUUUUUUUAAAGUUGUUUGUUUCAUCUAGUUUGCACAAACCCAUGCUGGGACACUGUGUUCCCGGAGGGGCCCUUAUUUGCCUCAGCAGCAGAAGCCCGAAGCGUUGUCUCUUUCAAUAACCAGGAACGGCUCGCCUCCAUCACUUCCCCAUCUCUCUAUAUAUACUGUCAACGCCUGUACUGAAAUGCAGGACAGAUAAAAUUUCCUUUUACCUCCUUCUAGAGACCUACUUCCAUUUUUCAACGAGCCACUUAGCCCAGGAAGACAGGAAGUCAGGCCUGCACUCAGUUUUCUAGUAUCCAGCCAGACAUUUUUCUUUAUUACUCCAUUUUUUAAUCACAGACAGGACACCAAGAUAUUUUAUAGAGUUUCACAUUUAGACAAGGACACACAGGCAACCAUGGUAGAAACAUAAUGCCUAAAACCCCAUGGCCAAUGGUCUUCAGAAUGUUCCAGGAAACUCCAGAAUUCCAUAAUGGUGCUUCAGACAUAGAAACCUUCAAUUCCAAAUAUAUAGCUCCUUGGAAUGUAUCUGGCAAUAUCCAUUAAAAUUAAGAAUACAUGGAGUCUUUGACCUAGCACCUAAACUUUGGAGGAAUCUUUCCUUUAGAAAUAAAUGCCAUAGUAUAUUAAGAUCUAUGUCUGUA
rnacentral:lncRNA from 1 species